ensembl:antisense 1700048M11Rik RIKEN cDNA 1700048M11 gene
CUGCUAAUCACCCCUCCUCCAACUGAGGCUAAGCACUUCCUCCAACUGAGGCUAAGCACUUCCUGGUGGUUUUUGGUUUCCCAUCAAUAAGACAAAUUUUGAAAGGCAAGACUCCACGGUGAUGGAGCAGCAGUUGCUAUAUCCAGGAAAGUCUGUGUGCCCUGUGUUUUCUGUGGACUGUCUCCUUGCGUCUGCACCCAGCCCCAUGGAGGGGACAGACAGUCCUGACUGAACAGAUGAGGACUCUAACUACGGAGAGGUGGCUAACUGGUGAGGAGAAAGCAAGACGUACCAGACUCUCCAUCGCUGAAUUUCCCAGUAACACGUCUUGUCCUUCCACCUGAAUCUGGUUUACAAUUUCGUCCUGCAAGUCAGCUACAACUCAGCUGAACUCAGUACCUUAGAAACUAUUAACUAUUAGGAAUGGCUAUCUGAGGAUUUCUGAGGAAGGUUGCCCUGUGGUAGAAUAAUAGAGUGAGGAAGAA